GAUGCAUGUAGAUAUUUUACACCUCCUCCCCCAAUACAGCAUCUGAGGAAAUGUUUUGAUGACCUUCCAGAAAUUGUCAGAAGGGCCUACUAUUCCAUUGGCAACUAUAUUGUUUCCAUAGCAAUACUGAAAACAUGUCAGGAGAAACCUGUUAUCAUGGACAGAUUCUGGCACAGUACUGCAGCUUAUGGUAUAGCCAAUGAAACAAGCAAUGAAGACAUCCCAUUGGAGGGGCAUUGGGUGUAUAGUGGCCCAGUGACCUUUUAACCCCUGACAUCGUCCUCUUUCUGACAGUCAGUGAGGAGAUCAGAAAGCAGAGGAUGCUGGGAAGAGGAGGGGAGAAAACUCAAGAAGAAAAACAUUUAGAUAAAGAUAGACUGUUUAGAGAAAGAUUAUACCUAGCCUACAAGAGAAUGGAGAAGCCUAGCUGUAUAAAA